rnacentral:lncRNA from 1 species
AAAAACACAAUAAUGUAAGACUAUAAACAUGUUUAUAGGUCUUUUUUUCAUUUAGAAUACGUAUGGGGCUUGUAGAAAUUAACAAUGAUCACCAUAAGAACUACUAGUAGGAAAGAAACUGAGCCUCACGUAACCAAAAGACCUCCAUUAAAUUUAAACCGAUGGAAGAAGAAGAAGAUUUGGUGGUGGUGAUAUCAAGGAGCAUCGUGAUCCCCAGAAACGCCAAGAAAUCGACUUCCUCCAAGAAGAAGAUCCAUCUGCUUCCUUGGGAUCUCUCUCGCCUCCGCUUCGGUUAUCUUCAAAGAGGUCUCCUUUUCUCCAAACCUUAUCCAAAAAUCGACACAGUUCUCUCAAAGUUACAAACUUCACUCUCUCUAGCACUUGACCGUUUCUACCCUUUAGCUGGUCGUCUCGUAAAGGUACAGAACGACGACGACACUGUCUCCUUUUACAUCAACCCCGAUGGCUCAGGCGUGGAGUUCGUUCACGCCUCAGCUACAAACAUCGAGGUCAGUGAUGUCCUUAGAUUAUCUACUUCUCUCAGCUCCUUCUUCCCCGCUACUGGGGUCAAGAACUGUAACGGCGUCUCGAGAUCUCUCCUCAUGGUUCAAGUGACUGAGAUGAAAGAUGGGAUCUUUAUCGGUUUCGGUUACAACUCCACUGUAGCUGACGGAGAUUCGAUCUGGAAGUUUUUAAACGCGUGGUCUGAGAUCUGCUCCAAGGGUUUGGUUCCCGAACCUUGUCAGCGUCGUCUUCAGCUUAAAGGUUGGUUCUUUGAGGAGAUUGAGUACCCGAUUCGGAUCCCAGACCCGGAGGCAAAACCAGCUAGGGUCACAACAGCUUCGAGUGGUUUACAGGAGUUGAUGUUUCAUGUCACAAAGGAGAAUGCUUUGAAACUUGAAGCUAAAGCCAACGAUGAGAAAGUGUCGUCAUUACAAGCGGUGUUAGGACAUUUAUGGUGUUCGAUGGUUAAGCACAGUGGGAUGAGCAGAGAGGAAGAGACUCAUUGCAGGUUACCUAUAGACAUGAGGAGAAGGGUGGAUCCACCGUUGGAAGAAGACUGUUUUGGGAACGUGAGUCAGACCGGGAUAGCGAAAGUCACGGUUGGUGAGCUGAUGGAUAAUGGAUUAGGGUGGGCGGCUGGGAAGAUAAACGAUAUGGAGCGGUCGCAAACGCAUGAAAACGCGGAAGGGAAUGCGGAGAAAUGGGUGAGAGAUGUGAAGAUUCCGGUUUCGGUUGGUAGUAAAGAUUUGGUUGUGACGAGUUCUCACCGGUUUGAUGUGUAUGGAAAUGAUUUCGGUUGGGGUAAACCGGUAGCUGCGAGAGCUGGACCGCCGUAUGUGAGUGGGAGAAUGGUUGUGUUCCAAGGGGUUGAAGAAGGGAGUCUUGAUUUUCAGGCUUGCUUGCUGCCUCAAGUAGUGGAAAAGCUAUCAGAAGAUGUUGAUUUUAAAGAGUUUGUGAGCAUUGUAUUAUGAUGGUUUGAUGACUUGGUUCAACAAUUUGGAUCGAAUUUAAAAUGUGUGUGUGUGUGUGUGUGUGUUUCUUCCUUUUCUGAUUGUUUGUAAUUCAUCAACCUGGUCACAUGAAAUUCUCAGAUGGCCAUAAACAUUUUUAAAAUAAAUUUGAAUAAUUUUUCUUUAGUUUGGAAGUAGCAGCAGCUUAUGUAUACUAGAUCUUUAAAAUUUAUGAAAAACAAAUGUUUCACAGCAGCAUGUCCAUGGAUGAAAACUGAUAAUGGGCCUGCAAUUUAUGACCCAAUACGCAAUCAAACCGGCCCAAUGUAUUAGAACACGUGGUGAAUAUGUGUUUAGGUGAGAACGGGAUUUGGAUAUACACACUGUCACUCACUAGUCACUACUGUAAUCAUACUGCUCCAUCGAAUUACCUCCAGAAGCGAAGACGACAAACAAGACAUGGCAGAUGUUGUUGUGCUCUCUAAAAGCAUAGUUCGACCCGAUGGAUCGGAUUCGGAUCGGGUAAAGAUCCAUCUAACUCCAUGGGAUCUCUUCUUCCUUCGAUCAGACUACCCGCAAAGAGGUCUCCUCUUUCCAAAACCCGACCCGGAAACCGAUAUAAUCUCACAACUCAAAUCCUCUCUUUCGGUUGCGUUGAGUAUCUUCUACCCAUUCGCCGGCAGACUAGUCAAGACCGAGAACGAAAACGACGAAACGGCGUCGUUCCUCGUAGACUGCGAUGGUUCAGGCGUCAAGUUCAUCCACGCUUCAGCUAAAACCGUCUCGCUGAGUGACGUUCUAGAACCGGUCAACGGCAUCGUCCCCGAGUUCUUGAACCGUUUCUUCCCGGCUAACGGAGUCAAGAGCUGCGAAGGGGUCUCUGAGUCGUUGAUCGCGUUCCAAGUAACGGAGUUAAGAGACGGAGUCUUCAUCGCGUUCGGCUAUAACCACAUGGUCGCAGACGGAUCUUCCUUCUGGAGCUUCUUCAACACUUGGUCGGAGAUUUGCUCCACCGGAGUUGACCGGGAUAAAAAGUUCCCGCCUCUGCUUCUCCGCGGCUGGUUUCUCGACGGGAUCGAUCACCCGAUUCGAAUCCCGAUCUCGGAGACGGUGAUACCGUCUCCUCCGGUUGCUUCUUCGUCAUCGUUGCUACGAGAGAAGGUCUUUCGAUUCACGAGAAGAAACAUCUCCGAGCUCAAAUCGAAAGCAAACGGAGAAGUUAGCUUCGAUGAUCGGAGAAUCUCGUCGCUUCAGGCGGUUUCAGCGCAUAUGUGGCGAUCGAUUAUCAAAAACAGUGAUUUGAAUCCGGAGGAAGUGGUUUACUGCAAGUUACUGAUGGAUAUGAGACGGAGACUAAACCCUCCGCUUGAUAAAGAGUGUUUCGGAAACGUCGUCGGAUUCGCGACAGCGACGACAACGGCUGGAGAAAUGGUUAGUAAUGGGCUGGGUUGGGCCGCGUUGCAGAUAUUAUUACAAGAGAGAUAUGUGGAACCUUAACGACUCACCUGAUCACCACGAAGAAUCCGACGGUAGAUGGAAACGGGCUGGAGAUGUACCAAUCUCUAUGAGAUCAUCGACCACGUGUCUGUUGUCUGUUCCUCCGGUGACCCGAAAUUUUUUUCCGAAUCAAAUCAUGGAACAGGAAGUUCCAGGAAUAUCUGGGUCCGGUAUCACUAGAAACCAAUGUCUUGUUCGGUCGGAUCCUAGCGGGUCUGGUCGUCCGGAAAACCUAGAGCUGGAGAUAACACCGCCGGUAAAAAAGAGCCGACGUGGUCCUCGUUCCCGGAGCUCUCAGUAUAGAGGAGUUACUUUUUACCGACGAACCGGAAGAUGGGAGUCACAUAUUUGGUAACUUAAUUUUCUUAACCCUACGAUAUACCGAAUACUAUUAUUGCAUAUAUGGUACAUCCAUCAAAUCCAAGUUUCAUUUCAUUCGGGCCAAUACCUUAUUGUUAUUUUUAAAAUAUGUGUUGGAAUAUUAUGCAGGGACUGCGGGAAGCAAGUGUACUUAGGUAUGAUCAUGUAAUGUUGUUCAAACACAGAUCAAAUAUCCUAUUGAAACUAAGUUGUGUUGUGUCUGUCCAUUUUUAUAUGAUUUCUUCGACCAAAUAAAGGUUUUAUUAUCUCCUUAUAUUACUUUUUGUUACAUAUUCAGGUGGAUUUGACACAGCACAUGCCGCUGCUCGGUAUGUUUUACUCAUCCAAAUAUGAUCAAUUAGAACGAAUCUAAUAUUCCUUAUUUUGUAAUUUGCUGAUAUACAAAUUAAUUUGGGUGGGUAACUGUUUGGGACAGUGCCUACGAUAGAGCCGCAGUUAAGUUUAGAGGUGUAGAUGCAGAUAUAAAUUUCAAUAUUGAAGACUAUGUGGAGGAUUUGAAACAGGUAAAAUAUUUAUUAUUUGUAGGUUCAAGCAAUUGACUUAGAUUAUUACUCGAACAUAAAACAAAUUAAUAUUUGUUGCAGAUGAGCAGUUUGACAAAGGAAGAGUUCAUGCAUGUCAUUAGAAGGCAAAGCACUGGGUUUCCAAGAGGCAGCUCUAAAUAUAGAGGUGUCACUUUGCAUAAAUGUGGAAGAUGGGAAGCUCGAUUGGGUCAAUUUCUCAACAAAAAGUAAAACUACACAAAUAAUAUGGGGUCAUUUUUUUUUUUGAAAUGUUUUGUUUUUCUUAUGGAUAUUUAAAAUUUGGUACUGUAUUGUUUGCUUUUUAUUUAUUUUCAGGUACGUUUAUUUGGGUCUCUUUGAUACCGAGAUGGAAGCUGCAAGGUACUGUUUUAUUAUUGUUCAAUGUCUCAUCAUCACGUUUCCAAAACAAUAGUAUUUAUGUUUGGGCAAAAGAAAAGCAAUAGUAUCUGUUUUGUUUAAUUUCUUCUUCGUGCUUUUUGAAUUAUAGAGCAUACGAUAAAGCAGCAAUAAAGUCUAAUGGAAAAGAUGCAGUUACCAAUUUUGACCCUAAAGUAUAUGAGGAACAGCAUAAUAGCCCAGGUAACUUGAUUUUACGUUUCCGCCUAUAAAAACUACAUAUACAUUUUUUUUACUCCAGUCACCAAAUUUUACUCACGGUAACCACAUUUUAUCACGGUAACAAUCAUCAGAGAAGCAGUGGGAUGAUCAUAACCUUGAUCUAAGUCUAGUUGAAUCAAACUCGGAAGAGUUUGGAACCAAAUCUGAGGUAAGUUAAGUUGUUCAUGUUUUUAUAAAUUUAAUGUGUGAAAAAAAGAUAAAUAGUGAUUAUGGUCUAAACUGAUACAUUUUAAAGACUGCGAGCAUGAGAAAUGGAUUUAGAGACGAGGAGAGACUAUUAGGGAGCCAUCUCUCCCUAGCGAUGACGACAACAGCGACUGUCGGAUCAGAGAAGCCAUUGGACGGUGGAGGAAAGCGAGUGGGAAUGGCGGCAUCAUCAGGAUUCUCUCCUCGCUUUCCUCCUUGGAACCACCACACUCCUCGCACCUUCCACUUCUUUCGUCCCUGAUUCACCAUCAUCAUCACAGUCACUCAUACAACAAAUGUUUUGGAGAAACUUUCCAGGAGCUAUUUUUCGGCUGUGUGGUGUGUAUGUAUUACAUAUAUGUUCUUGUGUCCAUGUAAGACUUUUCUUUCUGUAAUUUAAUCAUACAACAAAUGUUCGUGGCCCACAUCCUACAUGGUAUCCCCUGUACAUAUUGGAGACUUCUGUUUCAUCAUUUACCAUCUCAUCACAUGCGCUUAGUAACUUAGUUAGGUUUCGAGUCCGGAUCUAGAGAAUACCAUGCACACAACCCAACCGCAAUUUCAGAAAAUAUUAUACCUAAAUGGGUUUUAACGAAAAAAUGUACAUCCGAAUAAAUUUAGGUUUUCUGAGUGAAGUUGGGUUGGGUUGGGCUGGGUUGUUGACAUGGGCCACCCCUAAUAUCGGGACCAAUUCUUUUUUUUUUUUUGAGGGUCAAACAUUGAUAAUGAGAUCCACGUAUUUUUGUCCAAUAUUAUUCAACAAAAAGUAACAAAUAUGUGAUUUAAAUUUUCUAGCUAAUGGAGUGAAUAUGUUUUAUAAUUGUGAAUCACUGGACAUACAUGUGUCUUGCACUAGCUAGUUUUAUAGUUGUUUGAUAAUUCGACAUGUGUAUUGCACUAAUAGUAUAUAUUUACUAGUAUCACUAUCAAGUUGAUAAACUAAAGAUAAAGUGAUAGCGACAUACGAACCAAUCAUACAGAUUAGCCACCAGUGUUUAAAGUUUAUUGUUAUUACAGUAACAAAGCGCCAGAAAAUAAAAAAAAUAUGAAAAGCAACUCUGAGAGCCACAUAAAAGUCACAAAAACACAAUAAUGUAAGACUAUAAACAUGUUUAUAGGUCUUUUUUUCAUUUAGAAUACGUAUGGGGCUUGUAGAAAUUAACAAUGAUCACCAUAAGAACUACUAGUAGGAAAGAAACUGAGCCUCACGUAACCAAAAGACCUCCAUUAAAUUUAAACCGAUGGAAGAAGAAGAAGAUUUGGUGGUGGUGAUAUCAAGGAGCAUCGUGAUCCCCAGAAACGCCAAGAAAUCGACUUCCUCCAAGAAGAAGAUCCAUCUGCUUCCUUGGGAUCUCUCUCGCCUCCGCUUCGGUUAUCUUCAAAGAGGUCUCCUUUUCUCCAAACCUUAUCCAAAAAUCGACACAGUUCUCUCAAAGUUACAAACUUCACUCUCUCUAGCACUUGACCGUUUCUACCCUUUAGCUGGUCGUCUCGUAAAGGUACAGAACGACGACGACACUGUCUCCUUUUACAUCAACCCCGAUGGCUCAGGCGUGGAGUUCGUUCACGCCUCAGCUACAAACAUCGAGGUCAGUGAUGUCCUUAGAUUAUCUACUUCUCUCAGC